UACGGAGGGUGCGAGCGUUGUCCGGAAUUAUUGGGCGUAAAGCGCGCGCAGGCGGCUAUUUAAGUUUGGUGUAUAAGCCCGGGGCUCAACCCCGGUCCGCACCGAAAACUGGGUGGCUUGAGUGCGGGAGAGGAAAGUGGAAUUCCACGUGUAGCGGUGGAAAUGACGUAGAGAUGUGGAGGAACACCAGUGGCGAAGGCGACUUUCUGGACCGUAACUGACGCUGAGGCGCG
rnacentral:rRNA from 1 species